UAGUGCAUUUGGAGAGCUGUAAAUAGUUCGGUAAAUAGUUCAGCAGGUGUAGCUGAAACUGGCCAGGUGAAUUUGAUCAGAAUCUCUGAGAGCAGGUUACAGGAAUCUGUGUUUGAUAAGAAGUUUCCCAGGAGAUUCUGAGGCUGACUUCCCACAGGCCUAAAGUCUGGAAACCCAUUGCUGUACCUGACAUUCUGCACAAUUCUCUCUAAUCUGAACCACAACCCAGCAAGAUAGAGGUUAUUUGUCCUUAUUUUACACAGCAGAAAGCCAAGACUCAGAGAGGUAAAGCGACUUGCCCAGGAUCACACAGCUAAGGUGGGCAGGAUGGUGGCCUCACCUGAUGCAGUGCACACCUCCAACAGGCAUCAGAUGGAAUGCACUGGGAGCAAGAUUCUCAUAGCAAUGACAAAGAUCCCCAACACCGUCCACCACGCAGCCCAUUUGCCUCUGGACGCGUGGCCUUGAGCCUGGCCCCUCGAGUUUAUCCCAGCGCUUGGUGACGAGACCCCACAUACUGCACAGGAGGACAGGCAGAGGGUCAGCCAGAGCGUGGGAUGUGGAAGUGCCACCUCCCUUUGCAGGCUGUGUGUCUUCGGGGUCUGGCUCUGUUGCCCAGGCUGGAGUGCAGUG